UACGUAGGGUGCGAGCGUUGUCCGGAAUUAUUGGGCGUAAAGGGCUCGUAGGCGGUCUGUCGCGUCGGGGAGUGAAAACUCAGGGCUUAACCCUGAGCCUGCUUCCGAUACGGGCAGACUAGAGGUAUGCAGGGGAGAACGGAACUCCUGGUGUAGCGGUGAAAUGCGCAGAUAUCAGGAGGAACACCGGUGGCGAAGGCGGGUCUCUGGGCCGUAACUGACGCUGAGGAGCGAAAGCAUGGGGAGCGAACAGG
rnacentral:rRNA from 1 species